rnacentral:rRNA from 1 species
GAAUUACUACCUCACUACGUAUUUGUUAAUCGCAUGAUUGACAAAUUAAAACUCCGGUGGUGAAAGAUGGGCAUGCGCUCUAUUAGUUAGUUGGUAAGGUAACGGCUUACCAAGGCGACGAUAGAUAGGGGCUCUGAGAGGAUAGUCCCCCACACUGGUACUGAGACACGGACCAGACUCCUACGGGAGGCAGCAGUGAGGAAUAUUGGUCAAUGGUCGCAAGACUGAACCAGCCAUGUCGCGUGAAGGAUGACGGCCCUAUGGGUUGUAAACUUCUUUUAUAUGGGAAGAAAAGUAGUUACGUGUAACUAUCUGCCGGUACCAUAUGAAUAAGGAUCGGCUAACUCUGUGCCAGCAGCCGCGGUAAUACGGAGGAUCCAAGCGUUAUCCGGAUUUAUUGGGUUUAAAGGGUGCGUAGGCGGCUCUAUAAGUCAGUAGUGAAAUCUCGAGGCUCAACCUCGAACGUGCUAUUGAAACUGUGGAACCUUGGGGUACAGACGAGGCAGGCGGAAUGUGUUAUUGUAGCGGUGAAAAUGCCAUAGAAUUAACCCCAAAAC